GGCCCCGUAGUUCAGUGGCAGAACAGGAGCCUUUUAAGCUCUGUGUCGUAGGUUCGAGUCCUACCGGGGUCACAA
rnacentral:tRNA from 1 species